UAUUUUAAAAUUAAAAAAAUACAUUAAAAAUAUUAAAAAUUUAUAUACAAACUAAAUAAAAUUUAAAAAAUGAACAAAUAUUAAUCAUUUUCAUUUUCUUCUUUUUUGUUUAAAACGGUCUCCGACAUCACCCCGACUAGUACCACCACCAAAAUGAAGCUCUCCUCACCCUCUAUACAUCCAGCGAUUGAGAUUUCUCCUAGGAAAAAUCAAAAUCUUUGAAACCCCAAGCACGAUUUCGACUCCAACAGCCUCAAUCUGUUGCCAUCCGUCGUCAUAUGGACUCGGUUUCGUAUUAUAUGUCUCCUCUUGUCGUCGGCCACCUUCUCAUUGUCUAGAUUUGCAGAAGGAUACCUGGAACUCUGCUUUUCUUGUCAAUUUCCGCUUCUUUGUUCUUCCAUUUUUAUUUUUCGAUUUCUACUUUCUGAUUUCUGUUUGGGUUGUUGCAGAGGCUAUGCUGGGGUGGCUAGCAGUGGCAUUGGCCUCCCUAAAAAUGAAAAUUUUCAAUUCAAUCCCUCUAGAAAUAAUAAAUAUUAUUUACAAAUUAAUUACGGUAAAAUUUCACUUUGAUCUCUCAAAUAUGAAAAAAAAAAUCCAUUCAAUCCCUUCGAAAAUAAUGAAAUUAUAAACUAAUACAUGGUAAAAUUACAUUUUUAUCUUUCAAAAAAAUUGUAAUUUAGUUCCGGCCCCCUAAAAUAAUUCUUGGCUUCGCCCCAGAGUUGUUAGGAUCUUGAUUUAAGGGCUCGGGUAUGGUAAAAUGUUAGAUUAUUUGUAAAGGGCGGUCGUAGAUAGUGAUGAGGGGUGCUAGCCGUCAGACUUGUUCAUGAUAAAUACCCAGAGAGGCAAGAACAAACUCACUUCAAAAAUCAGUUUUUUGAGUGAAACAAAAAAUACCCAGAGAGCCAAAAGAAACAUAUUUCAAUUAUAAUCUAAAAUAAACCCAUUAUUCUUAGGGACCGAAUAAAUCAACCCAGAUCAUGAAAUUUGAAGCUAAAAGAAGAAAAAGUGUUGAGAAAUUUUACUAGCUUGAAGCUUCUUGUGAAGCUUGUUGAUUUCCAGCACCUCUUCUCGUUCUUUGCUUAACUGAUCGAGUUCCCUUGAGCUUUGCAAGUUUGAAGUUCGAAGCUUGGAUUUUCUUUUUUUACUUUAAUGAAUCAAUCCUUGAUUUAU
rnacentral:lncRNA from 1 species